rnacentral:rRNA from 1 species
UACGAAGGGUGCAAGCGUUACUCGGAAUUACUGGGCGUAAAGGGUGCGUAGGUGGUUUUUUAAGUCCGUUGUGAAAUCCCUGGGCUCAACCUGGGAAUGGCAGUGGAUACUGGAAAGCUAGAGUGCGGUAGAGGGUAGUGGAAUUCCCGGUGUAGCAGUGAAAUGCGUAAAGAUCGGGAGGAACACCAGUGGCGAAGGCGGCUACCUGGACCAGCACUGACACUGAGGCACGAAAGCGUGGGGAGCAAACAGG